rnacentral:lncRNA from 1 species
AUUAACAAUUAAAUUAAUACUUGCUUGCAAUUAUUCUGUAGUGUUGAUGAUCACCACCUAACGUGGCAAUGGUAUCAACAUUGCGGAUAAAUACAUUAUCCGUUUCUCUAUGUAUAGAAUGGUUAGUUGACUUGAGUUGGAUAAUGUAGCUGACGGUGAAUGUAAUAUUUAUCCAUGUACACUUGACCCUUCAGGAAUGUACGGUAAAAUUGAAGUUAUAGCAUUACCCUGUGCAAAAAUGUCAAUGAAAUAGGGGUGUUAGCUACAAUGCAAAGAAGAUUUUAGAUACUAGAAAUAACUUCGUAACUAUAAAAGGUUUAGGUGGAGAAAUUGCAUAACAAAGUUUUAAGAUACACUUUCAAAAAUAACAAAUUUGUAAAUUUUUUUCAAAAAUCAAGUAGUCACGCAUUUUGUGACCCCUAAUAAAAGUUUUGUGACCUAUAAUUAAUCAGGUUAAGAUGACAAUCACACACAAUUUAUAGUCACAGUCACAUACCAAUCACAAAUUUAGUUGCAAAUCAUAUGUUAUUAAGGUUACAUAUUAUUUAUCAGAAUGUCAGUCGCAAAGACACAAAUUGCGAGUCACAAGUACAAAUUUUAUCAUAAAUUAUAUAUUUUUAUGGGUUACAGUUUAUUUAUCAAACAGAAUUCAUCAAAUUCACGGGUCAUAAUUAUCCAAUCACUGGUUACAAUUUGCUCUUCAUCUCCCCUACGUCACCUUACCCACGCAUCAUACUCCACCAUCGUCCCUCACCAUCGAAAUCAUUGUCGCCACCUCAAACCCACAACCUAGCACCUCCUCCUCCUUAAAUUCACUGUCACCUCCAUCACACCACCACUACUGUCAUCACCAUCACCUCCACUUCCAACUCUAGCCUACCAUCUCCCUGCAUUACAAAUACACACAUACAUGAACAACCAAAUGCAUAAGCAGCGUUGCACCACCCAAAUCGUUGACUGCAGUGCUAAACUAACCAUUAACACACCGUUAUCGUCAUCUAUAGGUCCCAUCCACAAAGACCUGCAUCUUCAACUCAGCCUCUACCACAAGCCUCCACAUUCAUCUUUCCCACCAUCACUAAAAGCGGGGCGCGGUCUGGUUCGAUCUGAUUUUGAAGGGAACCAAACCGAAUCGAAUACCAAUGAAAAUCUUAGAAAUUGAACCAUUGGUUCCGUAUCCAACUAUAGAAUCGAACCAAUCGAUUCCAAUUUGGUCCGAUUGAUUCUUUAUAUUUAAAAAUUAUAAAAAUAAAGUAUGAAACUACCUGUCAAUUGAAAAAAGACAAAAAUAAAGUAUGAAACCAUUUGUUAUUAUUUUAAUCUAAAUCAAUUGAACAAUGCAACAAACAAAAAUUCAAUCUAAAACUUAAGAUCAACUCAUAAAGGCAAAAAAAAUUAUCAAACACAACAUAAAAGGUAAAAUCACGAUUGAAAAAUAGUUUCUAAGAAAAUUCGUAUAACAAUAACAUGAUUAUCUUUAGUAAUCCUCAAGGAUCUUGAUUUCUGAUGGACAAUCACUUUGGAAACAACGAAAAAUGUGAAUCCUUAUAAAAUAUUGAACUAAAGAUAUAUUUUUCCUAUUAGACUGCUUUACAACUAUGAAGUUGUGAAGUAUUUAUAAAAUUAUUUAAACUUGAAUUUUGAUUACCCAUUAAAGGAAAGAAGAAAAUGCAUAUGAAAAAUGAAAUUUCAACGUCACAUAUUUGGGUUCGAGUGUUUAAAGAUCUAGUAUAUCUUGGUUCUCGAUGCAUCGUUCCAAAUUGAUCCAUUUAGUAGAGGAAUCGAAACCAAAUCAACUGUUUCUAUUUGGUUCGGUCCGAUUCCACCCCUAACCAUUACAAUUCGAAUUUAUCCUUCAUGUCGCUGCCUCCGCACACCACCCCAAACUUCUCCUCACAAUGAAGUAAAAUAGAUUUAGGGCACGAUUAAGAAAGGCAAUUUCGAAUGCUAUGGGCUCUACAUGACUAGCGGUGGAGAGAGAAAUGGAGUCGCAAUUUUAUGAUGGAAAGAAAAAUGGAGUCGUGGUGGCAAAUCGAGCAUCAAUGGUGAGUAGGCAAUUGGGGUGUAGUCGAUAGUUAAGAUAGGCAUAUUUGGAAGACGGUGGGGUUUCAUACGACUGGAGGUGGAGAUAGAAGUGGAAUUGCAGUCUGCCGAUGAAGAGAGAAGUGGAGGCAUCGAGAUGCUAUCAUUGGAAUCACGAACAGGGGACGAUAAGUUGUUGGCGAUCAAUGGUAGGUGCUGGAGACCAGUGAUGGUUUGAUGAUAGUUGUAGAAGCAAGAGAGAUAUGUGUUUGAAUGUAGACAGAGAAAUAGACAUUGUUUGAAAGGGUAAUUAGCACGAAACGUCCUUGCCUUUCAAUGUUAUUGUGUAAAAUGUCCUUACCUUUCAUUUCUUUUGGCGUUUCUAUUCCUAUUUACAUAUUUCAUUGCAGAAAAUGUUAUUUUCAUCCAAUUUCUAAAUAAAAAAUGUAAAAUAACAAAUAUACCCUUCUAUUUAAAUAAAACAAAAACAAAGAAAA